AACGGUAAAUAACCGUUGAACUAUACAUACAAGAUUUUGGCGCGCUCUAGUGGCCAAGGGAAAUCACCAUCAUCAUCAACAGCAUCAUUAUCAACAGCAGCGAUGGCUCAAACAAAGGAAAUGCACAAAUGUAAGUAUUUUCAGCACUUUAAUUACGGCAGACAGGUGUAAUAAAACUAUUUUCGAGCGGUUUUUAAUUGUGAAGUUAGUUUUGAAUCACUAGUCAAGUUUGUUUUGAUUCACUAGUCAAGUUUGUUUUGAAUCACUAGAAGCCGAUGCUAAUGUGUUCCGUUAUCGCUAUUUGUUGAGAUAGAUAUCCGAUAACCCUUGACAUGACAUGUUAAGGUUUCAAGUAAAAUUUGUGUGCAGUGGAUUUGCUUACUACUACUAUUCCUUGGUUGAUUAUACCGGCGCACUGCUUUGAUAUCGGUAAAGCUGCCAGCUAGGCUACGUCGCUCGCCUGUCAAACUGAAGAUUUCCUUUCCACUUUUACCUCAGGGACACCACAGGAGACCAGACACCUCAUUAAUUUCAGGUCGACCAGGGACAAUGAGUUUCUCAAGUCAAAAAUGAUCGCCUGAAAACAGUGGGAGCUUUUUCUGGAAGAAAUGGGGAUGGAGGGAAAAGUUACAAGGCAACAGGCUUCUAAGAAGUGGGAAAACCUCAAAAAGAAGUACAAGGAUUUGAGGACUCCCAAAACUGGGUCGGGGACGGAAAGUGGGGAGGUGACAGUGGCGACGUGGCAGUAUUAUGAUUUGAUGCACAAGGUUCUUGGUGCCCGGCCAACAAUCGACCCACCAGUCCUUGUGUCCUCGAUUCAAGAAGACCCCAUGGUUAUCCUCAUGGAGAUGGUGGAGCCCUACAACCAAGCACCCCCGACAGCAGCCAGCACCCCAGUACACCCGCCGACCACAUCAAUCAUGCGAAGGAGGUCCAAAACAGUUGCAGAACUCCUGGCUGAGGAGGCACUUCAGGAGCAGAGGCGCCAUGAAGAGAGUGAGGCCAAGACAGAUCGCUUUCUUGAUCUCUUUGAGAGGAUGGUCAACAAAUUAUAAUUAUUGAUUUUUGUUGUUCCUAUGUUUUUGGUAUGCUAUUUAUUAUUCCUAUUUAUUAUUGUUGUAUAUAUUUCUAUUUAUUAUUUUAUGCUAUUUAUUAUUCCUAUUUAUUAUUGUUAUAUAUAUUUAUAUUUAUUGCUAUUUAUUAAUUUAUGCUAUUUAUUAUUCCUAUUUAUUAUUGUUAUAUAUAUUUCUAUUUAUUAAUUUAUUAUUACUAUUUAUUAUUAUUAUUGUAUAUAUUUAUUGCUAUUUAUA
ensembl:lncRNA